GUAGUUAGCCGGGGCUUCCUCACAGAAUACCGUCACUUCCUUCGUCUUCUGCGACAGAGGUUUACAAUCCGAAAACCUUCUUCCCUCACGCGGCGUUGCUGGGUCAGGCUUGCGCCCAUUGCCCAAUAUUCCCCACUGCUGCCUCCCGUAGGAGUCUGGACCGUGUCUCAGUUCCAGUGUGGCCGAUCAGCCUCUCAGCUCGGCUACCCAUCGUUGGCAUGGUGGGCCGUUACCCCACCAACUAGCUAAUCAGACGCGGGCCCAUCUUACACCCAAAAAGUUUGAAAGAAUAGUCAUGCGACUUUCUUUGUUAUGCGGUAUUAGCAGCCGUUUCCAGCUGUUAUCCCCCUGUGUAAGGCAGGUUGCCCACGCGUUACUCACCCGUCCGCCACUCAGUCACCUCCCAGAGCAAGCUCUCAAAGGUGCUUCGUUCGACUUGCAUGUGUUAAGCACGCCGCCAGCGUUCAUCCUGAGCCAUGAUCAAACUCUGA
rnacentral:rRNA from 1 species